GGGAAAUCUUACCGGGUCCGGACGUGCUGAGGAUUGACAGGUGUUAUGUAAUAUUAUUAAUAAGCUUUUAGUUUAUAUAUGUGUUGCAUUCAAAGAUGCUAGUCCUUUCAUGAUUGUGCGAUAGGUGGUGCAUGGCCGUUCUUAGUUCGUGGAGUGAUCUGUCUGCUUAAUUGCGUUUCGCAACGGGCUUUCUAUAACGCUAUAUUUUAUGCGCCAACGUUUUUGUGUUCAAUUUGUUUUUUUUUAUGGCUUUUGGCAUUAAUCCCCUCACUUAAUUGUGUGCGUGUUGGUUGGUGUUAGGCUGUUUUAAGAGGCAAGUUUCGAAUACCGUUGGGUUUCGUCAUAAUGUAGCGGGAACGCGAAAGCAACGA
rnacentral:rRNA from 1 species